GGACCAUGGCUCAGUGGAAGAGCAUCUGCUUUGCCUGUAAAAGGUCCCAGGUUCAAUCCCCAGCGUAUCCA
rnacentral:tRNA from 1 species